rnacentral:rRNA from 1 species
AGGUCUUGACAUCCUUACGACCUCCCUAGAGAUAGGGAUUUCCCCUUCGGGGGACGGAAGUGACAGGUGGUGCAUGGUUGUCGUCAGCUCGUGUCGUGAGAUGUUGGGUUAAGUCCCGCAACGAGCGCAACCCUUGAUCUUAGUUGCCAGCAUUCAGUUGGGCACUCUAAGGUGACUGCCGGUGACAAACCGGAGGAAGGUGGGGAUGACGUCAAAUCAUCAUGCCCCUUAUGACCUGGGCUACACACGUGCUACAAUGGAUGGUACAAAGGGCAGCGAAACCGCGAGGUCGAGCCAAUCCCAUAAAACCAUUCUCAGUUCGGAUUGCAGGCUGCAACUCGCCUGCAUGAAGCCGGAAUCGCUAGUAAUCGCGGAUCAGCAUGCCGCGGUGAAUACGUUCCCGGGCC